rnacentral:rRNA from 1 species
UACGUAGGGUGCGAGCGUUGUCCGGAAUUAUUGGGCGUAAAGAGCUUGUAGGCGGUUUGUCGCGUCUGCCGUGAAAAUUCGAGGCUCAACCUCGAACUUGCGGUGGGUACGGGCAGACUAGAGUGUGGUAGGGGAGACUGGAAUUCCUGGUGUAGCGGUGAAAUGCGCAGAUAAUCGGGAAGAACACCCGUGGCGAAGGCGGUUCUCUGGGACGGUACUGACGCUGAGACGCGAAAGCGUGGGGAGCGAACAGG